rnacentral:rRNA from 1 species
AGCGAACGCUGGCGGCAGGCUUAACACAUGCAAGUCGAACGGGCAUAGCAAUAUGUCAGUGGCAGACGGGUGAGUAACGCGUGGGAACGUACCUUUUGGUUCGGAACAACACAGGGAAACUUGUGCUAAUACCGGAUAAGCCCUUACGGGGAAAGAUUUAUCGCCGAAAGAUCGGCCCGCGUCUGAUUAGCUAGUUGGUAGGGUAAUGGCCUACCAAGGCGACGAUCAGUAGCUGGUCUGAGAGGAUGAUCAGCCACAUUGGGACUGAGACACGGCCCAAACUCCUACGGGAGGCAGCAGUGGGGAAUAUUGGACAAUGGGCGAAAGCCUGAUCCAGCCAUGCCGCGUGAGUGAUGAAGGCCCUAGGGUUGUAAAGCUCUUUUGUGCGGGAAGAUAAUGACGGUACCGAAAGAAUAAGCCCCGGCUAACUUCGUG